GGAAACUUGAAAACUACCGUUGGAUCGGGAAAUAGACAUGCGAGAUUCAUCCACGUUACCAUGAGUUAAAAUUUAACUCCCAGUAAAAUUUUAACUCAUGAGUGAAUCUGCGAGUUAAAUUUUAACUCAUGGUGACGUGGACGGAUCUCGGGCGUCCAUUUCACGAUCUAACGGUAGUUUCCAAGUUUCC
rnacentral:pre_miRNA from 1 species